GGAGAGAAUGCAACAGCCAAGUUGCUAAUCUAGAGAUAUUAAUCUAUUAUAAAACGCAAACUAAUCAGGUCCUUAUAAUUAUAAUAAGACAACCAAUUUUAGAAGUAUAACCAAUUUUAGAAGUAUAACCAAUCUCAAAGGGUCACGAUACCCAUACUCCCCCCACCCAAAAAAAAAAAGGUUUAAUUUACGUGUGCAUUUAUUACAUCUUACACGGUACUCCUUUAUAAGGAUAUUUAUCUAAAAGAAGCCCCCACGAAGGGAUAAUUAAUCGGUAUCCACAAAAAUUCAUCUCGAUACACCUCGAUUCGAAUCAUCCAUCAUCAACUGCUCCAAAUACAAAAUGCUAGAACUAGAAAACGCUAAACCAUAAAAUAAACAAGAAAAUGGGCAUGAAUCAACAAAGACAUGCCUAAGAACAGGAAGAAGGAAUCGAGUCAUACCACUCUGGAUUCUUUUUAAGGACGAUCUUCCCUUGGAAACCCUAAUUUGCCACCGCCCAUGCUCCGCCCCGCUGGCGCUCCCGCGGACGGCACCCUCCUCGCCCACCGAGCGAUCGAACUCCUCGGGCGCGGCGCUCGAAGGAAGAAGCGACGAAAGACAAAACGCGGGGAGAUGGACGCGAGGAUGGAAGCAAUCAGAGAGAGAGAGAGAGAGAGAGAGAGGA
rnacentral:lncRNA from 1 species